rnacentral:misc_RNA from 1 species
GGGCAUUCACCAAAUACUUCCCCAU